AUGUUACGUAAAGAUUAUCAACAGUGUUUACAGAACGAGAUUAUAAAGCACUCCAGGAAAUUUUUAAAGAUGCUCAUCGUUUAUGUAGAUUCGCCUAUGUUUAUGUAAUGUAUAUCGUAAUUUCAAAAUUUUUUCACAUCAUUACAGUUACAAAUCGGCAACAAUUUCUUUCUAAAUAUCGAACAAUCAUUUUUCCUGUAUCAUAUUGUAUAACACGCUACGCAACAGCUCCCAUAAUUAUGACUUCAAAGUACUUUAAAGGGUGCAAAGACCAUUACAAUGGCGUAACCAUUGAUUCGAAUGAAGAAUCUUGUAGCCCUGAAGCAUUGGCACCUCUUCUUGCAGCAUCUUUGCAGCAAUGGAUAAAAGAAAAAAGAAGGACAAUCUGGUUUCGUGUAUAUUUACCACAUUCAGAAUGGAUACCAAUACUUGUAAAAGAAGGAUUUAAGUUUCAUCACGCAAAGCAAGAGUAUGUUAUGCUUUAUCGAUGGUUAGUUACAGAUGAAGAAUGCUCUGUUCCACAUUAUGCUCAUACAAAUUUAGGUGUUGGAGCAUUUGUUUAUAAUGAAAAAACUACUGAACUCUUAGUGGUUAAAGAGAAGUAUGUAGAAAAAUCACCAUUUUGGAAACUGCCAGGUGGUUAUGUAGAGCCAGGGGAAAAUCUAGAACUAGCUGUAAAAAGGGAAGUCUUAGAAGAAACUGGUAUUCAAACCACUUUUAAAUGUCUAUUAGGUUUUAGACACACUCAUAAUCAUGUAUUUGGUUGUUCUGACAUAUAUAUAGUUGCUUAUUUGUCUCCUAAUGACAAUAAAAUUAAAAAGUGUGAAAGAGAAAUUUCUAAAUGUCAAUGGAUGAAGAUAAGUGAUUAUCUAAAACAUUCAGAAGUACAUGAAAAUAAUAAAUUGGUUGCAAGAAAGAUGUUAGAAUUACUUGAGCAUAGAAUGGGAAUUGUUGUAGAAUAUACACAACAUCCUAUUACAAAGAAACCUAUCUCUGUCUAUACUAUAUCUAGAAUCAAUAGAACAUAGCAUUUAGUUGAAUUAAAAUAACUAAAAUAUACAUAAUGCACAAACCACUUCAAAAAUAUGAACAGAAAAAUCCAUAUGUAUAAUAGUACCAAUAUUGACUUAUGUUUUUAAUGAUAAAAUUAAAAUUAUGACAAUAAAUAUAAAAAAAAAGAUAU